rnacentral:rRNA from 1 species
GUGCCAGCAGCCGCGGUAAUACGUAGGGGGCAAGCGUUGUCCGGAUUUACUGGGUGUAAAGGGCGCGCAGGCGGGAUAGCAAGUCAGAGGUGAAAUCCUACAGCUUAACUGUAGAACUGCCUUUGAUACUGUUAUUCUUGAGUUCGGGAGAGAGAGACGGAAUUCCAGGUGUAGUGGUGAAAUACGUAGAUAUCUGGAAGAACACCAGUUGCGAAGGCGGUCUCUUGGUCCGAUACUGACGCUGAGGCGCGAAAGCGUGGGGAGCAAACAGGAUUAGAAACCCGCGUAGUCC